rnacentral:lncRNA from 13 species
GUUUUGCUGUUUGAAAGGAAGCUUAGCACAGCAUCCACUGUCUUCUCCAUUUGUGAAACACCGAGCAGAAUCUGAGCAGGCUGAUGGUGCAGAGCAAAACCUGCAAAUAUAUUGAUAAUCUUGAGCCUGGGGGAUGCAGUUAAACCCAGUCAAAAGUAAUUUCUGGAAAGUUGAACCUGGUUUACAUUUUCUUGAGUUUGGCUGUUCAGCUUCACCAGUCAUUUAUAAAAAAGCAAACAAAAAAUCAAACCAAAAAAGACAAAAACUCAAACAAACAAACCCACACAAACCAAUCAAACAGAUAAAAAACCCCAAAUAAAACCAAAAGGAAUGAGGAGUUCAUAGUAGUUGUGAGGAUAUCACAGCAGGCGAAUGGCUGCUUCCCACAGGAUCACCAUACAAAGCCACAUGGAACAGCUGCUCCAAAAUAUACACACCAGGGGAAAUAGAAAAAGUGAUACAUGGCGGCUUUGGGGGUAGCUCCACAUUAAGGUGAAGGAUGAGCACUCCGUGGUACAGAUCCAGCAUUCCACACACUCCAGGCCGCUCUUUGCUCCUGAUGAAAGACCCUUGCAGGACUGUGGCCCUUCUCAGUGCAAUGUAAAUCAUUGCCACAGCUCUCAGCUGAGCCACUGGCAUUUCCAGAGCGAGACUCAGGCACAAUCCUACUGCCUCGGAGCAUCUGUGGAAGAUCCUGAGCUUCUUCACCCCCAGAAACACAAAGCAGCUCAGGCUUUCCCUGAAUUGGGUCUUCAGAGGAGGUUUCCAGUAUCUCUGAGAUUUGUUCACCCCUCAGCACGUGUGACUUUAUGUACAGUGAUGCAUUUGGGUUCCUUCCUCACCCCUGUGUGCCAGUCCAGUUUCAUUAAAAGAGGCUCAAGUUUGCCUUGCAACACAGAAGUGCUGUAGCUAUUCCCAGGAGAAAAACAAGAAAUGACUGUCCCAUGGUGUGGUCACUAGGUUGGUACCCGGGGUAGAAAUCCCACCACAGUUGUGGCUCUGUGAGCAAAGAGAGCCAGUGCUUUUUGGGGCUGUAACAGCUGAGAGUGUGGCAGCGCAGUUUUUAUAUUAUUUUUAGAGUCCUGAAAACAUUGUUCCCAAAACAAUCUUUCUCUCCCAUCUUGUGUCAUAAAUUGUGGAACAGAGAAAAUGGAAAGGAGCAGAUGUUUGUUUAAAUUGGCUUUUUUGUUGUUGUUUUUUAGUCUUAAAAUAGCAUCAGCGUGAUGCAUGAUACUUUAGAAAUUGGAUUAGUGACACCUAUUUUGUCCCACCAGAGAGGUGGGAUUUAAGACUUCCAACAAUAGAAACACCAGAUGUGCAAGAGCUCAGUUUUCCACCCCUCACAGGCCGGUAUCUUGCUGUGCUAUUUUAAGCAGCCUCAGCCAGGUAUAUUAAAAUACUGCUCCAAACAACAACAGAAUGAAAAUGUUCCACCAAAUGGGGAAAAAUAAGAAAAGUGGGCGGCAGCUGAUGUUCAUUUUGCAAAGUCAGAUGCAAACAAUGUUUGCUGGAUUCCUUUCCUAGAAAAAUGUAGACAUUUAAUAGAAAUCUACCUCUGAGGCUGGUAAGUUUGGUAUGAUUUUAGAUCUGGGAGGAGCAAAACAGGUUCUAGAGAAGCUGUGAUUGUCGCAGCCUUGGAAGUGUUCAAGGCCAGGUUGGAUGGGGCUUGGAGCAAAGUGGUCUAGUGGAAUAUGUCCUGAGUGUGGUGAGAGUUGGAACAAGAUGAGCUUUAAGGUCCCUUCCAACCCAACACAUCCUGUGAGUCCAUGAAAAGAAACUUUUGGUUUUCCUGAGGUGUUGCCUUGGCAAGGGGAGGUCACAAAUACCUCAGGUAGUUUGAAAUGCCCUGAGCAGAACCCAGCUGUGCUUUAUCACAGGUGCUGAGGGCUUUUCACUUGUAUUUUAUGGGGGAUUUUCACAGGGCAGUGCAAGAGCAGCUGAAUGUGUUUGACAGGCAAAGAGGGCCAGUGUGGCAGCAGCUUCAUUCAACAGAGCUUUUCCUUCUGUGAUCCUGUAUAACCUGAGGCACUCUGGGGCUCUUGAACCUGGCAGCUGGGCAAGUUAAUCAUGAUAAUAAGUGAUAAAUUAACCUGCUCCACUCUCCUUAGCAUGGGGGGUGAUGAGCAUUAGGUAGUUUGGGGAGCAUUGCCAAGAUGGGAGCUUGUUUUUUGCCAAGGAGAAGGGAGAAAAUAUUGCUUAGACUAAAUAAAGCAGCUCUGCUUCCCCAGCAGGAGGAAAAGAAGCGAUUAAAGAUGGGAGUGCUGCAUGGAAUCAUUUGCAUGAGGAUACAUCUUGUCUGCUAUGCAGGAUAGUUCCCAAUAAACCAUGCUUCGCCUGACCUAUAUUUUUGGAUUUCUACCACAUAGUACAAGAGACAAGAUUAAAAAUCCCAAAGUGCUUUGUGGGCAGGGAAUGAAAAGUGGGGAGGCACUUUUUUGUUUUCUUCAGCCUGCCUCUUUCUUUUGUUCCCUUCAGGGAUCUCACUUCAUUUCUGCUGGUUUUUGGAGCACAUGUGCUUAGCUCUUUCCAGAUCCCCUGGGC